rnacentral:lncRNA from 1 species
AGGGGCAUUUUACCUUGUCACCAGAGGUGGUAUUCAGCAGGUUCUGACCAGUUUGGAGAACUGGUAGCAGACAUUCUGAGUAGUUCAGAGAAUUGGCAAAUACCACCUCUUACUGGCCCCACUCCCAUCUAUUCUCUGCCUCCCAAGUGGCAGCUGAUUGGCUGGGUCUUCUUUUGUUGCCCUGCACAGGAGAACGGAGCUGGAAAGCAGGUUAGUGGGAUGGGGAGGGAAUGGAAUUUUGCAGUAACCUUCCCCCAGGAGUGGGGAGGGAAUGGGGAUUUUACAAUAUCCUUCCCCUGCCUUGCCCACCAAGCCAUGCCCACCAAGCCAUGCCACACCCACAGAACCAGUAGUAAAAUUUUUUGAAUCCCAUCACUGCUUGUCACUCAAUGAUGGUGUUAACACAGCAUGCAAGCCCUAGCCCCCAUAUUUGGCUAAUAGCUAUUGUCUAUAUUUUUACAGAAGCCUUUUUAUCUACCAUUUGGAAGGAAACAGCCCAAAGAACUUUCCGGUUGACAACCAGCUAUUGGUUCAUAGAAUAAUAAGGCUAAAUAUCACUCAAUGAUUGGCUAUUUAUUUAUCCAAUUUCUACAAGGUCCAUCCCAAAAAGCCAGAAGUGAAAUGUCUUCAAGGAAAAGCAAAAAAGGUCUACUUGCCAAUUUAACAAAACACCUUUGGGACAACCAUGACCUGGAUGACCGAGAAUCUCCAUAGAUGACUGAAUGUUAGGUUAUCACUGGAGAAGAGAGUGAAGAAAAAGAAAAAAGAAAAGCAAUAUUUAUAGAAGCGUCUUUGCAACGGUGACAUAGUUAACUCUGUUUCUGUUGUCCCAUACACAUCCCAUUUUAAUCAAGAAAUCCAGUGGGAUAAGGAAUUCUUCCUAAUAUUUUAAAUGCCCAUUAAAUGAUGGCAUAUCUUUUAGCCAGCAAAAAAUUCAUCAAGGAAGUAGACAAAUAAAAAAAAACCAAACAGAUUAAUUUUUACAAGGCAAAGUUUAAGACAUGUAUUGUAUGCCCUUUCUCCUACAGAACAUACCUUAAACUUUAAGAUUUUAAAACAGUGCUUGAGUUUUGCUGCGUUCACACCAGCUGAAAUUAUCCUCCUUUUUGCUGCUAAUUAUUAAUAUGUUCAGUACUGUAAGUGAAAAUAAAAAUAUGUUCCUAAUUAAAG